rnacentral:rRNA from 1 species
CAAGUCGAGCGGUAAGGCCUUUCGGGGUACACGAGCGGCGAACGGGUGAGUAACACGUGGGUGAUCUGCCCUGCACUUCGGGAUAAGCCUGGGAAACUGGGUCUAAUACCGGAUAUGACCUCAGGUUGCAUGACUUGGGGUGGAAAGAUUUAUCGGUGCAGGAUGGGCCCGCGGCCUAUCAGCUUGUUGGUGGGGUAAUGGCCUACCAAGGCGACGACGGGUAGCCGACCUGAGAGGGUGACCGGCCACACUGGGACUGAGACACGGCCCAGACUCCUACGGGAGGCAGCAGUGGGGAAUAUUGCACAAUGGGCGAAAGCCUGAUGCAGCGACGCCGCGUGAGGGAUGACGGCCUUCUGGUUGUAAACCUCUUUCAGCAGGGACGAAGCGCAAGUGACGGUACCUGCAGAAGAAGCACCGGCUAACUACGUGCCAGCAGCCGCGGUAAUACGUAGGGUGCAAGCGUUGUCCGGAAUUACUGGGCGUAAAGAGUUCGUAGGCGGUUUGUCACGUCGUUUGUGAAAACUCACAGCUCAACUGUGAGCCUGCAGGCGAUACGGGCAGACUUGAGUACUGCAGGGGAGACUGGAAUUCCUGGUGUAGCGGUGAAAUGCGCAGAUAUCAGGAGGAACACCGGUGGCGAAGGCGGGUCUCUGGGCAGUAACUGACGCUGAGGAACGAAAGCGUGGGUAGCGAACAGGAUUAGAUACCCUGGUAG